UGGUCCAAAUCUGACGCUGAAUUGCGAAAGCUAGGGGAGCAAACAGAAUUAGAUACUCUGGUAGUCCUAGCCGUAAACGAUGAGCACUAGGUGUUGGUCCUUCGGGAUCAGUGCCGCAGCUAACGCAUUAAGUGCUCCACCUGGGGACUACGGCCGCAAGGCUAAAACUCAAAGGAAUUGACGGGGACCCGCACAAGCGGUGGAACAUGUGGUUUAAUUCGAUGCUACGCGAAGAACCUCACCAGGGCUUGACAUACAGGAAGUAGUGAACUGAAAGGGGAACGACCUGUUAAGUCAGGAGCCUGUACAGGUGCUGCAUGGCUGUCGUCAGCUCGUGUCGUGAGAUGUUGGGUUAAGUCCCGCAACGAGCGCAACCAUUGCCCCAUGUUGCUACCCUACCGUAACCUUCGGGUUUGGUGGGCGCACUCUUGGGGGACUGCCCGAGACAAUCGGGAGGAAGGUGGAGAUGACGUCAAGUCAGUACGGCCUUUAUGCCCUGGGCUACACACGUGUUACAAUGGUAGGUACAGAGGGUUGCCAACCCGCGAGGGGGAGCCAAUCUCAAAAAACCUGCCCCAGUUCGGAUUGGAGUCUGCAAUUCGACUCCAUGAAGCCGGAAUCGCUAGUAAUGGGAGAUCAGCUCGCUCCCGUGAAUACGUUCCCGGGUCUUGUACACACCGCCCGUCAAGCGAUGAGAGCUGGGAGUACCCGAAGUCCUAUGUAGAUAGGCCGAAGGUAAAACCAGUGAUUGGCGCUAAGUCGUAACAAGGUAACCAAGGG
rnacentral:rRNA from 1 species